GACUUCUCCUCUUUGCUCCAUUCUGCAUGCCUGCAGCAACGAAGAAGCCAGCGGAAACAGAAGCAGCCAGCAACACCAGCUCAACCGCCGUUCAUCUCCUUCGUGUGAACCUCUGGCUUCGCUUUAAUUUCCUCGGCUGUUCUUCUUUUUCUUUUACUUCACUGAAGCUGCAGCGCCACAUGUCCACGGCCUACCUUCCCUCAGUCAACAAAACCAUCAAGUUUUCCCUUUUGUUGACCGUAAGCCAGCAAAGCCCACGUCUUCCCUCCACCGAAACUGAAGCCGCUCCUCCAUCCGUGUCUUCUGCCAGGCGUCGUCCACUUCUUCGGUCAGCAGACGCAUGUUUUAUCGACCUGCUUUCCACAGGAUUGAAGUCGGCGCGCGUCCUCUCUCCAGCUCGCCAACACCACCGAAGGAGGAAGUCUCCACGCGUCUUCAGCUCACGCCUACGUCAACGAACGGUGGAGCUCUCCUCUUUGUUGACUCCCUUAUGACCCAGAUGAAGCUGCUCCUUCUCGCCACUUCAACGCCACGGUUCCAUCGAAAUUUCAUGGGCCCAAGAACUCCGUGAUUCUCAAGCGAGUAGCCCAAUAACAGUCCACUUCGCAGCCCAAAUGAUCAGCAUUUUGGUCCAUCAAGCAGCCUGCCGUUUGACAUCUUGAGGCCCAGCAAUUUCCUUGUGAACUCAGCCCAUCAUCAAUUAGAAUUGAAGCCCAGCAAAUUUUGGCCCAAGCUUCAGCCCAAGUUGUUUGAAAGGCAGGCCCAAUUCAGCUUUGUUUCAAGCCCAAGUUCAGCCGCCGUUGCGUCGUCGUCGCAGUGUCCCGGUCUUCGUUUUGUGCAAGGUCUUAGAUGGAAGAUCUUCAAGAGGAGGAUUCCAUGAAAAGCUUGGCGAGGAAUCAGAGGAGGGUGAAGAGAAUGAUUUUGAGUACGACCUGCAGAAGGAUUGAAACCUCCCCCAUUUUGAAAACCUUGUGAAUAUUUGUAGAUUUGUUAAAUCAGACCUUGGUGAAUAGUACUGUGAAGUAUAAUGAAAGCCUGUUAUGCUAUGUAUAAAAGUGUGGUUAUGCGUUUUCAAUAUGAAAAUAUGGCAUUGCUUUUC